rnacentral:rRNA from 1 species
CAGUCGCCACGGUAAUACGUAGGGUGCAAGCGUUAAUCGGAAUUACUGGGCGUAAAGCGUGCGCAGGCGGUUAUAUAAGACAGAUGUGAAAUCCCCGGGCUCAACCUGGGAACUGCAUUUGUGACUGUAUAGCUAGAGUACGGCAGAGGGGGAUGGAAUUCCGCGUGUAGCAGUGAAAUGCGUAGAUAUGCGGAGGAACACCGAUGGCGAAGGCAAUCCCCUGGGCCUGUACUGACGCUCAUGCACGAAAGCGUGGGGAGCAAACAGGAUUAGAUACCCGCGUAGUCCCUGUCUCUUAUAU